AAGAGGGUGGUAGAGUCUAACAUACAGUGCUUAACAAGCUACCUUGUGAAUCCAUUAAAUUUUAAACCUUCGUAAUUAGAUAACCAGUUUCCAAAAAUAGCACAAUAGCACAGUUAGGUCUCAUUUUUGUUUUAGAAAUGAAAUUAUGUCAUCAACAUAGUUUUAUCUGUACCAGAGUCCCCUGCUCGUAUUUUUGCGGUGUGUGUUAUAAUAAAUCAGUAACAUAUUUUAUAACACUUACAGUAACCCAUGAUGCCUCUUUCUGUCCAGUUCCAGGCUCUUCCCUCCUUCAACAGGAGCGAGCCCCACAGCCCUUAUGCUAUUUGUCUCUAAUUAUAUGUUCUUCUCCUAGGCAAUUAUCCAGUAGAUAGGCCCUCUUAGCAAAGGGCUAGAGACUUACCACAAAAGAGGAGAAAAAGGAGAGCAUGUUUCUUCCCCAAUUUUAGAAAAGAAACCCACCUCAAUGAGUAAACGUUCAUGAAUGCAGAGAAACAAAAUUUGGCACAUUUUCUGAUUUUUUUUUUUUUUUUAGAACAGAAUUGUAGGACUUAAAUACUUUCCAGAGAUUGUAUCUGGCAGAUCACAGGAAUUGGGUUUUCAAAGAGAAAACCCCUUUUGCAGUUGGUCUCAAGGAUUUUUUUUUUUAUAAGAAAAGCAGCUACAGUCCUCAAAGGAACAGGUGGAAAAGAUUUAAUAACUGCAUGGUUAAGGAAAGGAGCAGCUAGCUUCCCUUGAUGACUGCUGGAUAAGUUUGGAAAGUUCACCAGUGCUAUUCAAGGCAGAAACUUAUCUAGGUGAACAGAUACCACCAUAGCAAGUGGUAUCUCAGACCAUCUGGAGAAAAGAAUUUGAGAACCUGAGUUUAAAUGCUGUCUCUGCCUUUGGCUGAUGGACUUGAAUAUAUAUCAGAAUAUUAAGAGGAAGAGGAUUGUUCCUCUGCCCGUUAUGAUUUUUCUUUCAGUGUCCUACCCCUUACCCCCGACAACACUUGCUAAGUUUCUAUAGGGAGGCCCAUAUAGAGCCAAUGACAAACCAAAUCAUUUGGACUUUUAGAAAGCUUUCCCAAGGAUUGUUUUAUCUCUGUUUCCCCUACCAAGGACACUGUUGCCCUGCUCCCUUCUGACCUCUGGAAAAUGUUUUCAUUCCAUCAACAUAUACUUACUAAGCACUCAUUAUGAGGCAGGCAUUGUGCUAAAGCAACCAUGAGAUCAAUGAUAAAUAAACAGAUAUGGCCCUGCCCUCAUAGAAAUUAUAGCCUAAGCUCCAUGGUGGAAUGUGGAGACCUUGCUUUUUAGAUAGCAGAGUAACUUGUUGCCAAGAUCUAGAGGGUGAUCCAAGACCUAUCUCUCAAUUACCAGUCUGGACUGUUUGUAUUCCAAAAAUGAAAUUAACUCUUGGCCACUGAAGGGUUUAUUUUUCACUCCCAAAUAAAAAUGAAGCCAUAUGAAAUGAGCCUAGGCCUUGAUGGGCAAAAGGGGAUACAACUAUGUUAGAAAGGACGACUUUUUAAAAAACCAUUUAUUAUGGAAAAUUCCACAUAAAUGCAAAAGUAAAGAAAAUAAUGAACUCCCAUAUAUCCAUCACACAGUUUCAACAAUUAUCAACUCAUUGGCAAUUUGGUUUUAUAUAUGCCACCAUUUCUCUCCCCACAUUACCCUAAAUUGUUUUAAAGCAAGGCAUUUUGAUUUAAUUUCAUCUGUAAAUAUUAUAUUUAAGCAUUACAGUUUUUAUUUUUCUUUAUGCCAAUUAGAGUUCUUUUACAUAAACAUCACACACAUAACAUGUAUGUAAUUAUACAGACACACAGAAGAAGAUCCUGUGGUUGUAAGAUUUUUCAUUUGCCAUUUUCUUAUUUGGAUUGCUGGCCUCAAGGUAGAGCCCUUCAAGAAACAGGGCUAGGAAAACAUGAAGUUUCUAGGGCCUAAUAAGCAAGCACAGCAAGAAGACAAAAACAGACACCCAAAAUGAAGGGUCCUAUUUUUAUACCAGAUCCUGGAUCCCCAACAGAGAGAAUUAGCCCAUUUCCCAUGGGAGUCUUAUCUCUCAGUGGGAAGUGGAGACAUUUCCACAACUUCUAGGUACCCAAGAGCAUGGUUCUCUGAUGUACACAUGCAAAGAGCCAGGUAUUCCCUGAUAACUGCCAUUAGCCAUUGUUAAAAGUAUAUUUAGCCUUAAAUUUUCAGAGGAAUCUAUCCACCACCCAUUCCUGGGGUUUUAGGAAAAUGGAGUUUUUUUCCAAAACAGGGUCUGUGACACCUCCUCUGUGUUUUGCAAGGAGUCCCAGGCAGAAAUUCAGAAAGACUCCAGGGAUGCCUCAUGGUCAGAGGCAUUUGACAAUUUAUAG